CAGCGUUGUUCGCAUGAACAACGCUUAAAAGAUGGCUUCUUGCUAUCACUUCUGGAUGGACCCUGCGGUGCAUUAGCUUGUUGGUGGGGUAACGGCCUACCAAGGCGAUGAUGCAUAGCCGAGUUGAGAGACUGAUCGGCCACAAUGGGACUGAGACACGGCCCAUACUCCUACGGGAGGCAGCAGUAGGGAAUCUUCCACAAUGGGCGCAAGCCUGAUGGAGCAACACCGCGUGAGUGAAGAAGGGUUUCGGCUCGUAAAGCUCUGUUGUUAAGGAAGAACACGUAUGAGAGUAACUGUUCAUACG
rnacentral:rRNA from 1 species